rnacentral:rRNA from 1 species
GACGUAGGGCGCGAGCGUUUGUCCGGAUUUAUUGGGCGUAAAGAGCUCGUAGGCGGCUUGUUGCGUCGACUGUGAAAACCCGCGGCUUAACUGCGGGCUUGCAGUUGAUACGGGCAGGCUAGAGUUCGGUAGGGGAGACUGGAAUUCCUGGUGUAGCGGUGAAAUGCGCAGAUAUCAGGAGGAACACCGGUGGCGAAGGCGGGUCUCUGGGCCGAAACUGACGCUGAGGAGCGAAAGCGUGGGGAGCAAAACAGG